GUUGAUAAGGUUAAGUGAAUAAGGGCGCACGGUGGAUGCCUUGGCACUAGGAGCCGAUGAAGGACGGGACUAACACCGAUAUGCUUUGGGGAGCUGUACGUAAGCUAUGAUCCAGAGAUUUCCGAAUGGGGGAACCCAGCAUCUUUAAUAGGAUGUUACGAUUGUGUGAAUACAUAGCACAUUCGAGGUAGACGCAGAGAACUGAAACAUCUAAGUACCUGCAGGAAGAGAAAGAAAAUUCGAUUCCCUGAGUAGCGGCGAGCGAAACGGGAAAAGCCCAAACCAACAAGCUUGCUUGUUGGGGUUGUAGGACUCCAAUAUGGUCGUUCUUUCAGAUAGUCGAAUGACUUGGAAAAGUCAGUCAAAGAGGGUAAAAACCCCGUAGACGAAAUGUGGAAGACACCUAGGAGGAUCCUGAGUACGGCGGAACACGAGAAAUUCCGUCGGAAUCCGGGAGGACCAUCUCCCAAGGCUAAAUACUCCCUAGUGACCGAUAGUGAACCAGUACCGUGAGGGAAAGGUGAAAAGCACCCCGGAAGGGGAGUGAAAUAGAACCUGAAACCGUGUGCCUACAACAAGUCAAAGCCCGUUAAUGGGUGAUGGCGUGCCUUUUGUAGAAUGAACCGGCGAGUUACGAUUGCAUGCGAGGUUAAGUUGAAGAGACGGAGCCGCAGCGAAAGCGAGUCUGAAUAGGGCGUUUGAGUAUGUAGUCGUAGACCCGAAACCAUGUGAUCUACCCAUGUCCAGGUUGAAGGUGCGGUAAAACGCACUGGAGGACCGAACCCACGUACGUUGAAAAGUGCGGGGAUGAGGUGUGGGUAGCGGAGAAAUUCCAAACGAACUUGGAGAUAGCUGGUUCUCUCCGAAAUAGCUUUAGGGCUAGCCUCGGAAUUGAGAAUGAUGGAGGUAGAGCACUGUUUGGACUAGGGGCCCAUCUCGGGUUACCGAAUUCAGAUAAACUCCGAAUGCCAUUCAUUCAUAUCCGGGAGUCAGACUGUGAGUGAUAAGAUCCAUAGUCGAAAGGGAAACAGCCCAGACCACCAGCUAAGGUCCCAAAAUAUAUGUUAAGUGGAAAAGGAUGUGGGGUUGCACAGACAACUAGGAUGUUGGCUUAGAAGCAGCCACCAUUUAAAGAGUGCGUAAUAGCUCACUAGUCGAGUGACCCUGCGCCGAAAAUGUACCGGGGCUAAACAUAUUACCGAAGCUGUGGAGUACACCUUUAGGUGUAUUGGUAGGAGAGCGUUCUAAGGGCGUCGAAGGCAGAUCGUGAGGACUGCUGGAGCGCUUAGAAGUGAGAAUGCCGGUAUGAGUAGCGAAAGACAGGUGAGAAUCCUGUCCACCGAAUGACUAAGGUUUCCUGGGGAAGGCUCGUCCGCCCAGGGUUAGUCGGGACCUAAGCCGAGGCCGAUAGGCGUAGGCGAUGGAUAACAGGUUGAUAUUCCUGUACCCGUUGUUUUUGUUUGAGCAAUGGAGGGACGCAGGAGGCUAAGGAAUGCAGACGAUCGGAAAUGUCUGUCCAAGCAGUAAGUCUGAAGAGGAGUCAAAUGCUUCUUUUCUUAAGGACAAGCUGUGAUGGGGAGGGAAAUAAUAGUACCGAAGUUCCUGAUGUCACACUGCCGAGAAAAGCUUCUAGUGAGAAAACAGCGGCCCGUACCGCAAACCGACACAGGUAGUCGAGGAGAGAAUCCUAAGGUGAGCGAGAGAACUCUCGUUAAGGAACUCGGCAAAAUGACCCCGUAACUUCGGGAGAAGGGGUGCUGAUCAUACGAUCAGCCGCAGUGAAUAGGCCCAAGCGACUGUUUAUCAAAAACACAGGUCUCUGCAAAAUCGUAAGAUGAAGUAUAGGGGCUGACGCCUGCCCGGUGCUGGAAGGUUAAGAGGAGUGCUUAGCGCAAGCGAAGGUACGAAUUGAAGCCCC
rnacentral:rRNA from 1 species